AGAAAAAUCUGAAGCGAAUCACGGGGGCGGGGGUCAAGCCGACCGCGUCUCUAGGUUGGAUCUGGGCGCCGACUGCCGCCUUGAGACCCUUCCGCGCCCUGGGUUCCUAGGGACACCUACGCCACCGGUACCUGGGAGAGGUCGCCGCGGGAGGUGACAGGUGGGUCCCGCUUUCUGAGCCCUCGCCGCCUGCAGGGCCGCUGGGGCGUGCUCCGGCGCUCUGGGCCAUAGUGGUUCGGUCACAUCACCCCCCUCCUCGAGGAAAGGCUGAGCGCUAGUGGCAGGGCAGCAGGCAGGGCCUGUUGAGCAACCAGCCUUGUGAAAAGAAGGGCUUACGUCACCCGGGCAGGCAGCCUCCCUGCAGGACACCUGCGGAGGCGCUGGGGUGGGAAUCGCCACUGAUUCCAGCGUCGGGGGUGGCAGGGUGGGAAGCCAGGGGCUCAGUGUUUGGUAGGUGACGGCAGGACCCCAAUGGGACUGAAUCUGUCCUUAGGGGCUGGUCCUGAGGGCCUGGGUGGCCCCUUGGCUCAUUGUGUAACCCCCAGCUGCCCUUUUCUGAGCCUCAGUUUUUCCACUCGGAAAAUGGGGCUCACAUCAGACCCAUUAUGAUUUAUUACAAACCCAAAAGGGAAGGCUGGGCUGGGAAGACAUUAAUCUUUCCCAUCCCCAGGGAUGUGACCUUGAACAGACACCCUGAGCUCUGCGUGGCCUCAGUUUCCUCAUCUGUAAAGUGGGGAUGAUAAUAGGACCUGCUUCUUACCAAUGAUUAGGAGGAUGAAAUGAGUUCAGUUCAGUUCAGUUCAGUCGCUCAGUCGUGUCGGACUAGUAGAUGCAAAGGGCUUAAAAUACGGUUCAGGGAGGGUGAAAGACUGACUGGAGAUCACACACGAAUCCUUCGAUUAGCUGCAGACUCCCCACAUCUCACUGCAUCUCCCCAGAACCCCGAGAGGCCGGGGCGGGUGCUGAGUCUCAGAGAGAUCACACAGUCCAGUUAACGGGGUGUGGGGGGAACCUCACCAUCUCUUCCAUCUUCAUUUAUUGAGCCCUUCCUGUGCCAGGCACUGUUCCAGGCACUGGGGGAACAGCAGUGAGCAAAACACACAGCAAUCCCUCCCGGAAGUCAGGGAGGGCUUUCAGAGGAGGCCACCUGCGGGCUGAGCCCUGCAGAGCUAGCUGCCUUGGGCAGGGCUGGGGAAAGCCUGUUCUUGGUCCAGAGGUGCAAAUGCAUCCUGUUCCCCAGUAAAUUUUGAGCAUGCUUGACCCACGAUUUCCCAUAUUUGAGAGCGGGUAGUCUGGAGGGGGACUGAGGCAGACAAGACGAGGAUCUUGGUGGCUGGAGAUAAGGGCUAGGAAGGAAGUUUGCCAGCAGGUGGGGCUGGGAGGGCCUCUGGGGGCAGUGGCGCUUCAGCUCAGUCCUGAGUGUCCCAUUUUGCAGCUUGGGAGGCCUGGCUGGGUGGCCCCAGGGCCUUAGGUCCCUCCCUGGCCCAGAGGCUGCUGGGAAGGCCCAGAAAGCCAGCAGGCUGGGCCAGUGUUUCACUCUGUCCCUCCCUGCCCCCC
ensembl:lncRNA